UACGUAGGGUGCAAGCGUUGUCCGGAAUUACUGGGCGUAAAGAGCUCGUAGGCGGUUUGUCGCGUCGUCUGUGAAAACUCGAGGCUCAACCUCGAGCUUGCAGGCGAUACGGGCAGACUUGAGUACUGCGGGGGAGACUGGAAUUCCUGGUGUAGAGGUGAAAUUCGUAGAUAUCAGGAGGAACACCGGUGGCGAAGGCGGCUAUCUGGACGGUCACUGACGCUGAGAUGCGAAAGCGUGGGGAGCAAACAGG
rnacentral:rRNA from 1 species